rnacentral:rRNA from 1 species
CUUUCCCUCUGGCGGCAGGCCUAACACAUGCAAGUCGAGCGGAUGAAGGGAGCUUGCUCCUGGAUUCAGCGGCGGACGGGUGAGUAAUGCCUAGGAAUCUGCCUGGUAGUGGGGGAUAACGUCCGGAAACGGGCGCUAAUACCGCAUACGUCCUGAGGGAGAAAGUGGGGGAUCUUCGGACCUCACGCUAUCAGAUGAGCCUAGGUCGGAUUAGCUAGUUGGUGGGGUAAAGGCCUACCAAGGCGACGAUCCGUAACUGGUCUGAGAGGAUGAUCAGUCACACUGGAACUGAGACACGGUCCAGACUCCUACGGGAGGCAGCAGUGGGGAAUAUUGGACAAUGGGCGAAAGCCUGAUCCAGCCAUGCCGCGUGUGUGAAGAAGGUCUUCGGAUUGUAAAGCACUUUAAGUUGGGAGGAAGGUCAGUAAGUUAAUACCUUGCUGUUUUGACGUUACCAACAGAAUAAGCACCGGCUAACUUCGUG